rnacentral:rRNA from 1 species
GAUGAACGCUGGCGGCGUGCCUAAUACAUGCAAGUCGAGCGAACGGACGAGAAGCUUGCUUUUCUGAUGUUAUCGGCGGACGGGUGAGUAACACGUGUAUAACCUACCUAUAAGACUGGGAUAACAUCGGGAAACCGGAGCUAAUACCGGAUAAUAUUUUGAACCGCAUUGUUCAUAAGUUAAAGACGGUCUUGCUGUCACUUAUAGAUGGAUCCGCGCUGCAUUAGCUAGUUGGCAAGGUAACGGCUUACCAAGGCAACGAUGCAUAGCCGACCUGAGAGGGUGAUCGGCCACACUGGAACUGAGACACGGUCCAGACUCCUACGGGAGGCAGCAGUAGGGAAUCUUACGCAAUGGGCGAAAGCCUGACGGAGCAACGCCGCGUGAGUGAUGAAGGUCUUCGGAUCGGAAAACUAUGUUAUUAGGGAAGAACAUAUGUGUAAGUAACUGUGCACAUCUUGACGGUACCUAAUCAGAAAGCCACGGCUAACUACGUG